rnacentral:rRNA from 1 species
CCCUACGGGGGGCAGCAGUGAGGAAUAUUGCUCAAUGGAGGAAACUCUGAAGCAGCAACGCCGCGUGAAGGAAGAAGGCUUUCGGGUUGUAAACUUCUUUGAAUGGUGACGAAUAAAUGACGGUAACCAUAAAACAAGCCACGGCUAACUACGUGCCAGCAGCCGCGGUAAUACGUAGGUGGCAAGCGUUAUCCGGAAUUACUGGGUGUAAAGGGCGUGUAGGCGGGGAAGUAAGUCAGAUGUGAAAUGCCAAGGCUUAACCAUGGAACUGCAUCUGAAACUAUUUUUCUUGAGUGCUGGAGAGGAAAGCGGAAUUCCUAGUGUAGCGGUGAAAUGCGUAGAUAUUAGGAGGAACACCAGUGGCGAAGGCGGCUUUCUGGACAGUAACUGACGCUGAGGCGCGAAAGCGUGGGGAGCAAACAGGAUUAGAUACCCGAGUAGUCA